GUCGAGCGAACAGAUAAGGAGCUUGCUCCUUUGACGUUAGCGGCGGACGGGUGAGUAACACGUGGAUAACCUACCUAUAAGACUGGGAUAACUUCGGGAAACCGGAGCUAAUACCGGAUAAGAUUUUGAACCGCAUGGUUCAAUAGUGAAAGACGGCCUUGCUGUCACUUAUAGAUGGAUCCGCGCCGUAUUAGCUAGUUGGUAAGGUAACGGCUUACCAAGGCAACGAUACGUAGCCGACCUGAGAGGGUGAUCGGCCACACUGGAACUGAGACACGGUCCAGACUCCUACGGGAGGCAGCAGUAGGGAAUCUUCCGCAAUGGGCGAAAGCCUGACGGAGCAACGCCGCGUGAGUGAUGAAGGUCUUCGGAUCGUAAAACUCUGUUAUCAGGGAAGAACAAACGUGUAAGUAACUGUGCACGUCUUGACGGUACCUGAUCAGAAAGCCACGGCUAACUACGUGCCAGCAGCCGCGGUAAUACGUAGGUGGCAAGCGUUAUCCGGAAUUAUUGGGCGUAAAGCGCGCGUAGGCGGUUUUUUAAGUCUGAUGUGAAAGCCCACGGCUCAACCGUGGAGGGUCAUUGGAAACUGGAAAACUUGAGUGCAGAAGAGGAAAGUGGAAUUCCAUGUGUAGCGGUGAAAUGCGCAGAGAUAUGGAGGAACACCAGUGGCGAAGGCGACUUUCUGGUCUGUAACUGACGCUGAUGUGCGAAAGCGUGGGGAUCAAACAGGAUUAGAUACCCUGGUAGUCCACGCCGUAAACGAUGAGUGCUAAGNGUUAGGGGGUUUCCGCCCCUUAGUGCUGCAGCUAACGCAUUAAGCACUCCGCCUGGGGAGUACGACCGCAAGGUUGAAACUCAAAGGAAUUGACGGGGACCCGCACAAGCGGUGGAGCAUGUGGUU
rnacentral:rRNA from 1 species